GGAAAUAUCAUCAAACUAAAUGCCAAACAGUCUAUGCAGGUUCAAAGCUGAGUCAUCUCUAACCUAUAGUAUCCUCGUGUUAAACAGAAACGCAGGCCUUCACCACACCUUUCAAGUGCAAGCAGAUUGCUCUCCCAAGGCAAAUCAAGAAAAAUUAUGAGGACUUCUUGAAAUCAGAAAGAACAGAAAUUAUGCACAAUGGCAAAGAGUCAUUCUGCAGCGCAAGCAAUAGUGGGAGGUGGCAAAGUCCAGAGCAGAACUGCAGGGAGGAUGUGAAGAAGGUCGACGUUGAAGGAGAAGCAGGGCAGCACAAAGGCUACAGUAUAAUUGAGACUCCAUGUUCCCGAUCAAAUUGGUGGUGUUCAAGGUACAAUCAGACAAGGCCAACUCCCACCAGUUGAAUGCAGCAAGAAGAUAAUCGUUUACUUGUUAUUUAUUCUGACUCUCAAAGUAUAAAGUGUUCUGUUUUAUGGUCUUGUUUAUAGCACUCUGUAGUUGUAGGUUUAGCAAAUGACCCAGAAGACUAGCCCUGCAGCUGAGCUUCGAGAUGCACGGUGUCCGAGCAGCAGUACUAGAGAGGGGAAAAAAGGAUAGAAACGAUUAAGAAGAGCCAUUGAAACCAAUGAAUGACAUAGCAAUUCAAAGUUCAGUGCUGGCACAAUCACAGCACUACCUUAGGCUGUAUAUAAAACCACAAGCAUAGCUGUAGCCCAGCACAGGUGUAUAGGUAAAAAGUGAUCAAUAGUAACUGGGUUUAAAAAAAAAUAGAAACCAACAUCAUUAGCUCUGUGGUAAAUUUCAGUACAAAGUAAUAGCCAGCUGAACCCUGACAGGUGCUGAGUAUCUGCUGAAAACUCUCAUAGGAAUCAAUGAGAAUUGCAAGUGCUCUACAACUGUGCAUUGGCAACUGUAAUGUUGACACCAGGAGGCUAUUAGUAUUGUUGACAGCCCAAUUGGCUGGGCUGCCUGCGGUAGCUACUUUAUCCUGCACUGAAAUAUAUCAUACAGUAUUAGGUAUUGCAAUUGCUGCCCUCCUAUAAUGCACAUGGACGUGGCUCAGAUGACGAGAAGGAAACCAGGCUAUGUCACAAGCUCUGUAUUGUUGUGGUUGGAUGAAGCAUCGUGGAGGCUGGUGAGUGAGCGCUGCUGCCUGGGAGACAGGCUCCUUUACAGUAGCUCCCACCAGCCCACCACAAAAUUAGUACCAUGUGGGUGGAGGGCUUUGCUGGGUAUUGUUUGAUCAGAGAGGGGCUGUGUGUAAGAGAAGCAGGAGACAUGGCACAGAGAGAGGGACUGAGGGCUUGUCUACCCAGAGGUGCAGUGAGCACCGCAGGGGUGUGAUUUCUAAAACCCACUGAUAUGCUGCGCAUUACUUGGUCCGUGUAGACCCUGCUGGUGUGCACUAAAGGUUUCCUUGGGCACUUUAAUGUGGUGCUGUUUGAACCAGCACUGCAUUCAAGUGCGCCACUGGGGUCUACACAGACCAAUUAAUGAGCAACAUGUUGGUGUGCUUUAGAAAUCCCACGCUCAUAGGGCGCUUUACCCCACCAUGUAGCUAAGGCCGGAGAGA